rnacentral:rRNA from 2 species
UAGGGAAUCUUCGGCAAUGGGGGGAACCCUGACCGAGCAACGCCGCGUGAGUGAAGAAGGUUUUCGGAUCGUAAAGCUCUGUUGUUAAGGAAGAACGAGUGUGAGAAUGGAAAGUUCAUGCUGUGACGGUACUUAACCAGAAAGGGACGGCUAACUACGUGCCAGCAGCCGCGGUAAUACGUAGGUCCCGAGCGUUGUCCGGAUUUAUUGGGCGUAAAGCGAGCGCAGGCGGGUAGAAAAGUCUGAAGUGAAAGGCAGUGGCUCAACCAUUGUAGGCUUUGGAAACUGUUUAACUUGAGUGCAGAAGGGGAGAGUGGAAUUCCAUGUGUAGCGGUGAAAUGCGUAGAUAUAUGGAGGAACACCGGUGGCGAAAGCGGCUCUCUGGUCUGUAACUGACGCUGAGGCUCGAAAGCGUGGGGAGCGAACAGG